rnacentral:rRNA from 1 species
UACGGAGGGUGCAAGCGUUGCUCGGAAUUAUUGGGCGUAAAGGGCAGGUAGGCGGUCUCAUUUGUCUGGGGUGAAAUCCUUGAGCUUAACUCAAGAAGUGCCUCAGAAACGGUGAGACUAGAGUUCUGGAGAGGGUCGUGGAAUUCCCGGUGUAGCGGUGAAAUGCGUAGAGAUCGGGAGGAACACCAGAGGCGAAGGCGGCGACCUGGACAGAUACUGACGCUGAGGCGCGAAAGCGUGGGGAGCAAACAGG